AGCGAGGGCGGGGGAGAGCCUCCGCUGCGGGGCGGGGGCCCGCCGGGCGCGAGCCUGCCGGCGCUGCGCGAGGGGGCGGGGCGGCGGCGGGGGCCCGCGACCGUUAAAGCCGUUGGAAGGCGGCGCGCGCGGGAGCGGCGCCUCAGAGCGGGUGGGGCGCUUGCAGCGGGAAGCGCUGCGCUGCCAGUAAUGUGCUUGUCACCUCGGAGACCAUUAAGAUAAUUUGCUCACAUCUGAGGGUAAGCAGGCCUUCCGUGUCAGAUGGGGACUCCCGCAGCGCGGCCUGUGUGCCCAAAUGUACUUGCUCCAAGUAAGGAGGCUUCCCUCUUUAAUAUGUAUAGCGGUGAUGAAAAACUUUGUUCUUCGGAGGCGUUGAAGGAAAGUAGAAUGCAGCGUGGAUUGCAUUUGAAGUUCAUCUGAUUUACGUAAUGCAUAUUACUUAUGAAAAAUGCAGUACGAACAGACCAUGCGAGAAUUGAGGUUAUUGCAGCAGAAAUGUGAUAAUCUCUCAUUUGUGCCAGCGCUGAUAACGUCUCGCCUGCUUUGAUUUCUCUGUUGACAUUUGGAGGAACAGUUUUAAUUUCGUUCUAACAUAUUCAGCGGAUUGACCUUUCACGGUGCGGUGCUCGAUGUGCCCCUCGCCGCCCCCCGCGCAAGGUGAGCUGGCGGGGAACGCCGGGAACGCCGAGCCACUCCAAGGAAGCAGUACGGGAAAGGUCAAAGUACAGCACAACGUGGUAAUUUGCAGCCUUGCUUAAUUAACACAGGCACUUUAUUUCAGAAGUAAACAAAAAUGAUUUUUUUUGAGAGCAUUAUUAACCCGUUCUUUCUCCCCUGCGAUGCUACGUGAUGGAUUUUCCACUGAAGCAGCAUCUGGUGGCUUUGGGCGCUGCUGCCACUGUUUGUACAGACAGCAGCAUCUUUGGCCCUGCCAUGAGAAACCCUGGCUUCUUCUCCUGCCCGUUUCAGCGGACCCCACUGAACCACGCCAGCGUAGCUGCUUGGGGCGAGCGCUUUGCCGCCCGCCUUCGCGCGGAGGGGAGCAGCCUUGGCUGGGCCGGGCACUGCUCCCCAGGAGAGGUGCGGAAUCAACGGGAGCGAGCGCUGCCCCGGCCCCCAGCAUCUGCAGAUGCAACAGCGUGGAGCUGGGGUGUUUGGGCACCCGCAGACGGCGUUCCCAGGGCAGUGGUGUUGUGAUUGCCUUGGCGUCAGUGAACACGUUCCCGGGGAGCGCUCUGCCACGUCACGGUGUGUGGGAGUGUGAAUCUGGGUCUGUACGGUGCUUUAAGCAGUCUGCGUUACUGAAAGGUGUUCCAGCUAGGGCAGGGGCACGGAGGCAUCACUGUCCGUAUUUUGAAGAUUAUUUGCAAAAUUGGCAAUGUUAUUUUUCUCACUCAGAUGUCAACCCUUUUAAGCGUUAAAAGUGAUUUUGCAAAAUUGCACGCUUUCCUCGGAGAAACCUAUUACUAAUGCCCUUUAGGUGAGCUUAGAGCUCUGUGCGGUCAGGUCAGGGUGUGCUUGGGCAGCAGGCUGCAGAGGGACUCAGCCUGCGCCUUCAUGCAAAUAUGCUUUUUGGCUAGUCUCCAGCACAUGCAUUUGCAAGCCAGCUCCCCAAAUUUCUUUUGAACGCACCAGACAAAAAAAAAAAAAAGAAAAAAAAGGAAAAUCAUAUUUCUAGUAGUCGUGCCCCAUGUUGCAGAUCAUUUUUCAGAAGGAUGUUAAAGCCCCUACAUUCGCUGCUGUGCCAUCUCCCUCCCAAGCAGCCCGCAGAGCCGCUGUGCACCGGGGCAUGGCCCCAGGGACUCGAGGCACUUCGCGGCGCCGGGAUCGCUGCCCUCGCCCCACGCCUCUGCUCCCCUGUGCUGCCGUCUAGCCCGGGCGCUGCUGGCAGCGUUUGGCGUGAUUUGGCCUGGACGUAAAAGGCGAUGCAGGGCGCAAGUCGGUGCAGAGCUAGGCUGUGUGGAAGGCUGAGCGGAAAUCGCUGGAGCAGAGGUGUUCUGCCAAAGAAAGGAAAAGCUUUUCCAAGAGCAGAAUUUUCAGCGGCGAGACUUGCUGGUGUGGAAAAAGCCUGGGUUUAGUGCUGAAAAUGAAUCCUGCUGGUGAGGCAGCAGAUGCUUGAGCAGGAAUGAUGCGCCUGAAUGAGGAAACUUUGCUUAGGGCAAUGCAUUUUUAAAAUUUAAAACAGUGCUUUUCAAGCCUAACUGAGGACAAAAGACAAUAAAAAUGUAGAAGCAGCAAGCCUGCGACUGCCAGAUAGGGCUGCGGGGCCUGGGAUGCCAGGGAUACGUACUCGCUCUACCCAAACUAUGCUAACCGUUUUCCUUCUGGACAUUAGCUGACAAGCUCUGGGCUAAUUUCUUUCCUCGGAAGCAAAAUUAAAUCACUUCUUUUAUUUGAUCAUUUCCAACAUAUCUUCACCAGCAUGGCUCACAUUGACAAAGGAACUGAUCUGUAAUUCUCUGAGCAUAUAUGAACAGACAUCUAGCUUAGUCACAAUUUGGAGGGUGAGAGUUAUUGUUCCAUUAAAAUACUACAAUAAGAUUAUCCAAUAGGAUUUCCAAAACUAUUCAAACCUUUUUUUUUAAAGAAAAGUGCAAGAUAGUUUAUAGCUGUUUUACAGGUUCAGUGACUAAAUGUAUCGCGAAUUAUUUUGUUUUCCAGAAAUAAAGUUGGAGUGGUGCGUGUCUAACCCUAGGGAGCCCAUUAGGAAUGUCCUCCUCAUAGCAAAUCCAGCUGGGCAUAAAAUGAGCCCUUUUGUUUGGAGGAGUCACUGGAGGGGGUGCGUAACGGGAGAACCGGUAUAGCUGUGCCUCCGAAAAAGCCCAGGCAAAGACCUUGUGACAAUAGGAAAUAUGUUUUAAAAGCUCAGCAAUGAAUGCAGCCAAAUAAUAGACUAUUUCAGCAGGAACUACGGGCAGUUCAGCCAAAGCCCUGAGCCUGGAGUGGUGCCCUUGGAUGUCGCUAGUUUUUUCCUAAUUUAAGUGUGAUAGUAAAAUCACAGCAUUAUGCAAAUUCAUAACCUUUAGUAUAUUUGUAAACAAGUCUGUCUUUACCUUCAAACAGACUUGCUCUUAUUACUUGAAAUAGUGCUAUUCCGUCCUGCUGAACAAUCAUCCCGUUUUAGUUAAUAGUGUUGUACCUCAUCCGUAUUUUUGUUCCGUGUUUAAAAUUAAGCAAUCAGCAUUUCUCAUAAGUCCUAAUGACUAAUUAUUUGAUAGCAUGUUCUAUGAAAUACUGCUGCACAUAUGAUGUACAUUUUCUUUUAGCUUCCGCUAUUUAUAAAUGUUUAUCGCUGAACAUUGUAAAUGCAAAAGUGGUUGGUACUUCCAGCAGCGAAAACACCGAUUGUUGUUUGCAUAUACACAAAAUGAAUGUCUCUGCAGGCAUUUUUUUAAAGGGAGACAGUAAGGAGGAGAAAACCUCCAGAAAAGACGAUAUGAAGUAUUUCUCUCCCAAGGGAAAAUUCUCCUUGCAAAAACCCCUCUUCAGCCCUGUCUCCCAUGGGUGCUGGAAUUGCAGCUGCUGCUGAGGCAGUUCAGCUCCAAGGGAGAGUGUGCGUGGGGGGAAAGUCAGAUUGAGACCUCCUGCGGUCUACAGGGAUAAUUUUCAAUGCAUUUCUAAGCCAAAGAUCAUUUUACUUUUUUGGAAAGAAUCUGCGCUCCAUCCCAGGUAGUGUUGCUGUAAGCGCGCCUUCGGGGGGAUCUACCCUACCGCUGACACCUGUGCUAAUACAAAGAAGGAUUAAAGACAUGCUGUCAUUCAUUUGCUUAACAUAGAUUUUCAGUGUACUCAGUGGAAAAUUGAAAAGAUUGAUUUUAAUACACAUAGGAUGUCUGGAUUGAUUGAAAGGUAGGUAUCUGUGUAUCAUCGCCUUCAGCUGUCCUUCGCAUUUGCAGUAUGUGGCCUGCUAAAGGGAUGUAAUGUGUCUUCACUGAGCUUUGAACCAUGGUCUUAAUAUGUUCCCAAGUCGAGCUGCGUGAAAUAUAUUGGUCAGAUACUUCAUUCUCAGAGAAAAUAUAAAAUCAGAUCCGUCAACAUUAUUUGCAAAUUCUUCUGUAACUCGCCAAGGUUUUUUUGGCUGAAAAGAGCCCUAUAAAAUUCAUUUCAGCAUUUCCCAAAUGCAUCAUUUUGGAUUUUGUUUUAGGACAGCAUUUUGUGUGCCUGUUUUAAUCCUAAAAUGAUAAAAGGAACUAUGAUGAACCCUCCCCCAUCUUUUGUUUUGAUACUUCAUUUUCGUGAAAAAAAAACAACCAAUUAAUUAAUUUAUUCAAAAUGAUUGUUUACUCCCAGUUUUUCAGAUUAGUAGCAAGGGGAAAGGCCAGCUGUACCUGACGUCCCCUCGUAGCAAGCCAGCCCGUCCAGCUGGGCAGGCUCAGGGCAGAAGUGUGUGCAUUUCCAUGAAAGGCACCAAGAGAGGCUUUGGGAACCCCGUGACUUGACAAGUCCUGCUGUGAAAAAAAUGCAAAGAAAGUUCAGGAUGUUAUUUGAAGCCCGAUUUCUUUUGGAGCUCUUGGGGGGCCUUAGUGGGUAUACAAGGGGCCUCAUGUCACCCCAUUCCCACUUUACACCUUUCACCUUUGUCCCUCGCCAUCUCAUGGGGGGUUUGGGGUCCUCUCCCUUUCUGCUACGCCCGCGUGCUCCUGCAGGGAGUCCUAUCUCCCCGGGCAGAGCAUUGGCAGCUGCCGGCCGCAGACCUCCUCCUCUCCCAGAGAUUUACUGGUUGGACAGAUGGGAAUUCAACACAAGAGCCUUAUAAAUAAAAGUGCCAGCUGGGGGUUACUGGGAUUGCCACCUCUCCAGAGAUUUAUUCUAUUUGUGGUGUCACUUUAUGGGAAUUGACUGCUUCGGUCGCACAUGAGGGGUUGCCCUCAUUCUGCUUUAUAGCAGGUAUAAUUUAAGCCUUCACGGAACGUGAAUCUUACCAAUUCAAGUGCGUUUCCCUUGCCUUUCUCUUUAGUUACUACUUGUUGGAAAAACUGGUCACAGUUGAGGUUGCAAACAUCCCUGCCUUGGCUGGCCCACCAAGAGAAGUCAGCAGCCGGGAUGCGGCUCUUUGGUUCUGCUCAGCCUGCCAGGUCCCUUAUAGCUCAGACACUUCCCCGUCGUAAAACCUUGAAGGAUUAUUUUAUUUUCUAAUUAACCUUUGAUUCGGAAGUUGUCAGAUGACAGUUUUGCCUUUAAGCAAGAACUUAGUAUUUAAUUUAUUUUAUUUGAAAACAGUUCCCAUCUUUUUCAACUAUCAUCACUAUCACCAACAAUCAAAAUAUCACAUGUUUAUUCUGAGUUGUUUCUCCUAAAAGAUUCUAGGUUUGUUUACUCAUCUCCUUUUUGCCUUUCGUUUGAUGACUGCGCUGUUUUCUUUCUUUUUCUACAUGUUGCACUCUUCCAUUAAAUCUUAAGAUUAUUAAAUAAAAUCAUUUCUACUUAAUGUUUUUUCCUCUCAGUUUACAGUGGUCUCCUCUGGGAGAUGGGAAUCUUUCUGUGGAUAGCCUGUCUCUUGAAUAACGCUUAUAGUAAUGCUCAGAGAACAUGAUCUACAGUAAUUGCUGUCGUUAGCGCGCUAAUGUAACUGACAAAUUAGAUUGUAAAAGCUUUGUCGUUUGCUUACACUUGGGUUGCAGCAUCUUCUGCUGGAGCUGCAGGCCGGGCUGCUGGAGCACUAUCCGCAGUUCAUUAGCUCCGUUUCCUGUGCGACAAAUACAUUACUGCAUUUAGACCGUAUUAGAAAUACAUUAACGAGAAGAGUAAUAUAAAUUUAAUAAAAUUCUAUUGAAGUUACUAAAGCUCUUUUGCGAGACUAUGCAGCCAUUCAGGGAGAGACACGCAGUGCACGAGGGGUUUCGUUCACCGCGCUCGGGAGAGGGGAGCUUUCCCUGCUGCCCUCCCAGCAGCUUCCCUGGGCUGCAGGGCAGCGCAAAAUACCCUCGUUCCCCCAGCGGCAGAGCUCGUGGGGGCCCAGUCUGUGCAGGAGACCUCCCUCUGCCUUCACUCCCCCUUUCACCGGGCGGAGGAGGAGUGUGCAUCCGUGUGUCAUUCACUGCUUGCCUUUUGCCUGCUUCCCCCCUUCCUGUCCGCUCCGCUAAAAGCUUCCUAAGAUUUCAAAUGUAUCCGCUGUUUUCUACACGGGGCUGACUAUAGUACGAGUUUUAAUUGCCGAGUGGCUAGGAGAGAAAUCGGCCUGUAAAAGAUUAAUAGCUCUAUUGAUCCAUUGAGUGUGCUUCAAGAGUUCUGCGUGCAAAGCCGUUGUACACAUCUGAAGGCUAUCGUAGUUCCCAGACAUGAAAGUCAAAUCAGACACGUACAUUCGUCUGAAUGACAUUGUUUCUUGUGUUUUCCCCCCCUUUAUAUUUUCAUUUAUGUUCUGCAUAUGUAAAAUGAGGCUCUGCAGAAGGAUUUGUAGAAUACCGAGUGUCAGAUGGCAGACUUCUUAUUUAUGAAGAGCUCCCUUAUAACCUUCAAAAUAAUUUCCAGUGUUACUGGGUAAUCAAAGCCAAGGAUAAACAUCAUAAAAUCAAAAGAAAAAAAAAAAAAAAAAAAAAGAACUAACAAAGUUCUAUAUAUAUAUGCCAGCAAAUGUCAAGAAAAAAGGGUCCAGUAUGUGAAUGCCACUCAAUUUUGCUACCCAAGAAAUGUUCAGAGAGGCUAAAGGUCGCCUUAGACAUUGUAGAUGGGUAUAAAGAGAUAUAGGCAACAGGAAUCUUUCUGUUCUUUGCAGGAUUUGGUGCCAAAAGACCUUUAAAUCUGAAAUGGCCUAGGGCAUAAAUUCAGUUAUGAGACGUAAACUAAAAGAUGGCCAUAGCCAUCAGUGGCGAGUUGAUGGGAUAGAGGGUACCUUUCAUUCUGGUGGCUAGAAGCUAAUCUGAUAGCAGUAAGUGCGAGGGAGGGGAGAAAUUAUUCUAGCUUCUGAACAUCCCAAAACAGGCUCCGCAACAUCUUUGCGUACAGCCUCAAUUAACAGAAUUAUUUAAUGGUACACUGGAGGAAGCACUCAAAAAUACAAGGAGCAAUGGUGCACUGACAGUGGGGAUGAAUUAGAUGACCUAAAUCUCUAAAAUAUGAGAGUUCAGUUUGCUUUGUCAGCUGCAUGUCCUAGAGUAGUUAUUUCAUGCUGUAUCUUAACAAACUCUUUUUCCCAGAAUUGUCCAGGAAAAAAUUGGCUACCAACAUGCACCUUUUUCUGUCUGAGUUUCAUGUGAGGCUUUGGAAAUGUACCUGUAUGCUUCUAGAUACUAAGACUUUUUUUUAAAUACAUCUCAGAAGAUAUCCCGAUGUCUCUGAUGAGCACCUUGAGUGACAGAUAUAUAGACCUUUUAGUUCUCUCGUUUAUAAACAGCCUAAAACACUCUUCUGAGUGACCUGAAUGCAGUGGAUAUACUGCAGAUAUUCACUGGUGAAAGCAAGACUGUACAACAAAAGUAAAUCAAUACCUUGCUUAAUACAUACUAAAUACAUGAGGGAGAAAGCUGAAACCUAACUCGGGUCUAGAGGAAGCCUCUUUUUUAAUCUGAUUUGUGUAGAGGCGAGUUCCUGUGAAAGACCACUCCAGAGAACGAGGCAGACUCAGCUCCGGUGGCACUGCCGGCAGCGAUCUCUCCUCCCAGCACUUCUGGAAAUGCUGCUGGAAAUCCAUCUUGGGAUGCUGAGAGCAGCCAGUUGGUCUUCCAGCACACUGUCACGUCGGCAUGCUGAAUUAGCUGUUUUGGAGAGCUGCAGAAGAAAACACUGUGACCGAAUAACUUUCAAAGCAAUGAGAAUCCCACAGCAUCCUUGGGAGCGCUGUGUGCUGCUGCUCAGUGACCUAACGAGCCGGGACCGGGGCAGCUUUACCCUUGGUAGGAGCUGUAACGGGUCAGAGGCAGGGAUUGAACGGAAAGGCUGUCCAACAGUCAUCCAGGAUAGGGCUUGAGCCAUACAGCAGCAUCUUCGUAAAACAGUCAAGUUGUGGAGUCCAGGUCGCGGGCUCUCUCUUAGCAGAGAUUCUUGUUGAAAGCCAUUGGGAUGCCGAGACCCGGAGCAGUUUCUGCUGCGUGUGAAGCAAGGCCCAGGAGCAGGCUAACAGCAACGGCUGCACGAACAGAAGCUGUGCAGUGACAAAAGGCUUAAAAGCUGGAAAUCCCUGGAGUAAGCAAAUGUCAGUGGCUGAAGCUGAUGAAAAGUGGUUCGAGCAUAAGAACAAAGCCCCAGUGUAGUCGGGAGGGGAAGAGGGAGGCCUCUUGGAGGCAGAAGCAUUGAUUGUGGCUUCCAAAGCAGGAGGUGACCUGCGUGCAGGGAGCCCCGACGUAGCCAUUUGCUUCAUGCUUUAUCUAAGCUACCCUACAUGAAGAAGAGAAUUAAGAACAGUGAAGCAUAAAAAUGAUGGGCGAUGUGGCCCCGGUUCCCAAGGUGCAAACAGUGAGCGACUGGUUAAACUUUGCAUAUUGCCAUGGUAAGUAAGUGCUGGAACAGUGUUUCUGCACAAAGAUAGUACAUAAAUUCUUUUGUUGAAAACUUAUGAACCUCUGUGUUUCGGAAGGAAAUGUGGAUUGCAGAGGUGUCAAAGCCUAUUGAAAAACUGACAUUGGCCGUGACCGUUAUUUAAGUGUGGCAGCUGAUAAGGUUCGUGAGAAACAGCUCUCCGUCCUCAAACACACACACAAGAAAAUUGAUGUAAAAGAUCAGGAGACAACAUAUUAGAAUAGCAACUUCAAAUUGAAUAGAUUUCAGAUACUCUGUGGUUUAGGUCACAGAAAUCAAUCCUGGGUGCAGGAAGACAUGUGGCACUGUGUGAGGAACCGAGAACUGAGUCAAUUUGCCUUGCUUGGCCCUGGCGCACAAUCCCAUGGCAAAAGAAAUAACGCUGUGAAUUGGCUAAAGGGCAAUUGCAUUUACCAGCUUGAAGAAAGUUUGUUAAUAGAUCCUCUAUUGGAUCUUGAGGACCAAAUGAUGAAUCUUAACUUCCAGUCCUCCUUCUUAUUUCUGUCUUUGUAUGUGAACUCAAAAGCUGGAAAGGCAGCACAAACCCAACAGAGGUCUGCAUGCCUUCAGAAACAGAUACCUUGGAAAACUAUGACCUGUUAGAUGGAAAGGAUUUGUGAGAAGUGCCAGGAUGUGUUGGGAUUCAGCAGUCACUUUACCUCUGGUGUUAUCUGGUGUUACCUGGAAAAGGAAAGGGAGGGAUGUAGGAUACCCUGUUAUGGAUGAAGUCAGGGCUGUGCUAAGGCAGCCACGCUUCUGGCUGCAGGUGAAGGAGUCGCCCAGAGAGGCGACCAGGGAGAAUCCCUCUGUCAAACUGGGAAAACGCAGGGAAUAUGCAAGGACUGGCCAAAGCUAGAUGCAGAUUGCAUGUGCUCUAAUCACUGCCUGGUGGUUUAGAAAGGUUUUGGAGUUGGCCUCGGGGUCGUAUUAGGGUAAACACACUUCUGAAUUGAUGACGACAGCUCAUAACUGCAGGACCCCUGAUGGAUGUUUUCUCAGGUGUGCUUUGCAGUAGUGGCUAAAGGGAUAUAUAUAUUUAACUUUUUCUUUUCUCUGAAAUGGCUGGCACACCAUUUGGUGGAGCUACAGAAGAGUAGCUAAAACUAGUGGCAGCAGCAACGUGAUCUGGUCUGGAAAUGUGCCGUUCUCAGAAAGCAUUCAGCUUUGCUGCAUGACCAGGUUGCAUAGUUCAGGGGAUGUGUAUAAAAAGGUGCACAAGCCCUUCCUCCUACUCCGUGUCACCCAGUUGCUGACGUGAGGACCAGUCGUCACCCUGUGCUGAGCAGUGACAAACCUUUAGAGCCGCAGGGCUCCCCGGGAGCUCCAUCCUUGCCCCUGCUGCUGUUCAGAGCUGGGUUAGCAAAGGCACCAAGGUAAACAGGAGCAAAAAAACUUCAGCGAAGUUUUUCUUAGCACACUACAAGUUAAUUAUUGCCUUGCACAUACCUCCAAAAAGUGGCUUGCCAGGAUGCGCCUCGCGCCCGGCACGAGUAGCUGUGCCAAUCCGUCACCCUGCAGCCCUGGAGGAGUACACGAUGCUUCCCAGCCUCACAGCGGCUUGAUCGAUUCCCUUCGUUAUGCAACUCAUGGAAAAUUUUGUUUUUUGAAGCUGUUAUAUUUCAGGGUGCCGUUCUGACAGCCUGGGAGCCAUAAUGGAAACCUGUGUACAUUUUGCAUCAGUAUGGAUGACGGUGCCAGUCGUGAGUGGAGUCUGGUCUGCGUGGCUGGGGAGGCGAUCGGCGGCAUACAUCCGUGUAUCGAGGGUUUCACUUGGAGCCUCUCAUCUUGCAGAAUUCAGUCUGAAGCAAAAAUGCGCUGUGGGAAGCGAGAGAGCAGCAAGCACAGCUUCCACCAUUGCAGUGGUCGAAGCUGAAUUUUUUUGUAUGCAAUGUUGGUCUUGUCAAAUAGUCAUUGAACAUGUUUCUACAAAAAUGAUGGUCACAUUUGCUGUGUUGCAAGAAUUUAUGCCAAAUUUUUGUCUAUAUCUCACCCAAAAUUUUAGCAAGAAGGUUUCUAGUUAUCGUUUACUCGGCCAUCACUAAAAAGGUGGUUUUAAUAAACAAAGCGUUUCUGUAAGUAUUCAAAAUGGUCCAAAUUCAUAUUCUGAUAGAAUAUCAGUAAAAGGGAUUAAAGUACCAGGAGUGUGUGGAAAAUGGAAGGAAUGCCAUCAGUCUGAAUUAUUUUGUGUGUGGAGCUUUUUCCCCAUUUUUUCGACUUGAUUUUCCCUUGCUCCCUUUCUGACGGUAUUGCCAGCUUCAUCCUCUUCCUCAGCCGAGCCGAUGCGAUUGUGAAGGUGACCUAACUUAGCACAGUCAGAUUUCACCACCUUCAGCGACGGAAAGAUCUGCUGGUCAUAAACUCCUCUAGGGGAAAAAUAAUCAACCCCCAAACUUGUAUUCAAUUUUCACCUGCACAGGCGGGAAGCUCUUGAGAAGCCCAGCAACGCUUUGGCAGCGGCCCCGCCGUACGCCCUCGCUUGCCUCGUUAUGUGUCUCCGUUUGAAGGACCGUGGCCUCUCCUGAAGCGCUGGCUGCACUGCUUCAUUACGCCCUGCAUCUGCUUUCCGAGCGUGCUUGGUGUCGGGAGCGGGGUUGCUCGGAUAUCGGGGCAGGUAUUCGCCGCGGGGGAGAAGCGGCCGGCCGCUGUCGAGCAUUGGAGCCGCAGAGCUCGCUGCCCCGCUCGCUCGCACGCAGGGGCCGGAGCACCAGCGUGCAACCCCCCGGGCGGCUCUGCGAGGGAGGCAUAAUAUUUCAGCCUGUAUUUGUUACAAACAUUAAGCUACCUCUUGGCCGCUCUCCAAAAUGUAAACAUACUUCAGUGCUGGGACUUGGGAAGUAAUUUAAAAUGUGUUAGCUCUAACGUUGGGAAUUUGGGACUGCUGAAGCCCAAGGCCUUAAAGGAACAUUGUUUGCCGUCUCAUUAGCCAUUUGCUGAACUCCGGUAAUAGCCUCCCCGAAUUUUCCCACCAGUAUCUCCUUAUCUAAUGGAGCUGAGAAGGAAAACCUGUUGCAAACAUUAAAUAUUUUCUGAUCAGUCAUAUGCUUAAUUAUGGCUCUGUAGGAUCGUAUUUUUGGUCUACGGAGCGAUUACGACCGUUUCUUAUAUUACAACUGGAAACUCUAAGGACGCUGCCAUCUGCAGAGACUAGCAGCCAUUUUUCUGUGCGGCCGUUGCAGGCUCUACCGGGGCGUACGAGCGGGAUUUUUCCUCGGGAAAGAUUUCCUCCUGCUAGUCCUGGUGGCUAGGAAGGUCGUGCAUGGAAAAGCAGGGCUCGCGCGGCGCGGCCGCCUUUCCGGAGGUGGCUGCGUGCCCUUCAGAGCACAGCUACACAGGGGAAAAAAGGGAGCUUUGAGAAAAGCUCAGAAGCAACGGUGCUGCUAAACCACUGCAGCUUAAAGGCGGCAAUAAUUCAGCAAGUGCUUAUUUAGCAAUACCAUACAAGUUGUUAGCGCUGCUUGUUGACCUGGUGCCCGACCAGGCUAUAGGGCUGAACAGAUGACUGCGGCAUCCUUUAUUCAGACUUCCCCUAAGAGCAGAGAAGCGGAAAGAGAAAGAUCCUUUAAAGUUUUUAGCCUUUUGCAAUGAUUUAGGAGUCCGUCCCAGGCUUUCGGCAGCAGAGACGCCUCAUGCUGUGCUGUGAUCCGUCCCAGCGCCGCGCCGUGCUGCGUCGGACGGGAACGCUGCGGGAAUGCUGCGCUGGGCUGGGAGCAUCGGCGGCUGCUGAGGACACGGCACUCACCUGCGCGCAGUGCCUCGGUGGCCUCGGGAUUCUCCCUGGUCUUUCCGUUUUGGAGGAUGUGUCACCUGCUUGCUGGUUGCCUCCGCUGUGCCCUCACACAAGGAAAAGGGCUCUGGCUCUGAGAGCCCAGGUGCAGAAUUAGCACAUGGACAAGCGACUUGGUUUCUUCUUCGUGCAGAUGUGACACGCCGUGGUCAUCGCCGCCCUGCACCGCCUGCCAGGGACACCACACCAGGCAGCUUCUUACCGGGGCCCUGGGCCGAAGCCGAGCAGAGUUCAAGAAAUAAAUGCAGAUACGGGCAAUCCGCUGGGCUUCCGGACCUCCGCGAUAGCAGCACCGUGGGCGGCACAAGCCCUCCGUAGCGGUGCAGCACUGCAGCUGGCGUGCCACGCUGCGCUCACCCCGGAGCAGGCGUUGGCGUCUCGGGGAGGCACAAACACGUGCGGCUUGGCAGUUCCUAUGAUACCGUAACUUGGUUUCUGGACUGCGUCUGAUCUCCCAUGAACGUAGAUCUUUUGCUGCUUCUAAUUUCAUUAGCGAUGCCUCUUGAGAUGCCAUCCAAAUAUCACACGUAGCAGUGGGUGAGGUACAAACAUCCAAAUGACUUGAGCACAAUUGAUUGUGUGUUCUCCUCCUGAUCGCUGGCGUUUCUCGUGAUUAUGCACUUCCACUGGCUUGAAGCAAUCAAGCGUACAACUAUCAAGGACAUUGACGGAUUAGCCUCAUCAGUCCCCUGCUGUGACCGCCAACUUUCCGUAUAUUAAUCAGAAAAAAUAGCUCCCUGAUUGCCAUUUAAAUUGUACAAAAGAUAUAUUUGUCUUGUGGUAGUCCAUGACAUUUCAAUGUGAUGUAAGACUGCAACUUCUUAAAGGAGCUUCGCUGCUGUAUUUCCCAAGAGCUUAGAGAAGCAGAAAGCUCAUCAGAAGUAACGUUUUGCUUAGUUCUGUUGUUCUCAUGCUGAACGUGCAUCGCUACAGCAAAUGCAGUACCUCUCUGAGGCUGCAGCGCUGGCAACUAGAUGUUAAUGAGUAAUAUGAAAUAUAUUUACUAGUUACUGUGACUCAGAUUCUGCCUUGGGUCCUCCUUGUCCUCCUCUUCUGUUGACAUGGUAUUUGUACUGCCUCGGUUAUUUUUUAGAAUUGGUGAGAAAAUAAGCCUUCCCCCAAACUGAAAUUGGAGUGCAUAGCUGCAACCGCGUUUCUUCUUCCUUCCUGCCGCUGGGGUUAAGCCUUAGUCACACUGUACUUGUUUCUUGACACUUCGGGAGUUCGCGAUCCCCUCCUACCAUCGCCACGAACGCUGUUGUACAUCACAGACUCAUCACGCUGAUCAAAACAGAAUUUGAUGUUUCACCAUAUGUCAGAAAUUCAGAUUUUUUUGCACAACCGUGGGCAUGACUGGAGGCUGAGACAAUAGGCUGCAGAAUUAGCUGUGCAGAAUGAAUAAGCCUGGUUUAAUAGGUACGGGAGCACUCAUGACACAGGCAAAGAGAGGCGGGAGGGGGACCUGGGGUAAACGUAAAAUGGGCUCCAGAUUAAUGCUUUUCAUUGAAAAAGGACCUAAGCUGUGCUGGAGCAUUCCCAGCCUAUGGCGGAGCUGCCCCCUCCCUUCCCACCAUCUCCCUCUCCCGGGAUCUUCAUGUCUCUGCUGCUUGGGAAGAGGAAGAGGAUGGCGCAGGAGGAGGAGGUGAUUUCCCUUGCAGCGCUGGCCAACACGUCCGUGGUGACGACCCACCAGCGACUCCGGGUCCCCUGCCCCAGCGUAGCAUCGCUGAUCCCGCCGGCAGUCGGCAUUUCCCCCCGGCUCCCUGCCUCUCGCCGAGCUGCCGGAGCUCUGCCCCACUCCCGCUCGCUCCGAGGAAAGGGAGACGGCCUCUUCCCGGCAGCCGGAGACGCGAGGAAGACGGGACACCUUUCCGUAGGCGCCAGCGCCUUCCCCAGAGGAGCAGCGAAAGGAAGAUAAAGCGACAUGACUGACGACGAACAUCUGGCCACGGGCUGAAGGAGGACGUGAUGUACUGUCCUAAGACAAAUGAAGCUCAAUUAACCCCUGGUUGAAUAAACAAGGUGCACGUGAGCUUUCCGAGAUGAAAGGGUGCACGCGGGAGUGUCAAGCCGACUUCCUCUAGCAAAAAGUGCCAGAACGGUUCCGCUUCCACCAAAGUCCAUCGGCAGCCCGAAAGCGGGAGCCCCGCGGCUGUGGCCUCGUCCGGGCCAUCUGAACAUGCCUUCGCGGGCGUCAGCUGGAAAUCGUGGCCCUUCCUGCCCUUCGUCCGCAUGCUUCGCUGUGUCGCCGGGUUUUAUCCUUCCUUUCUGCGUUCCCUGCAGCCCAGGAGCAGCUGGCUGCUGUGACCCCCAGCCUGGCCUUUGCAGGUGGAUUGACUGAGCUUUUCCUCCAAUGUUUAAGUUGUCUGAGCUCUCAUUUCUCCUUUAGUGUACUUUCCUUACUGCGGUAGCACGGGUGAUUGCAGGAUUUCUGAGAUUGUGCGAAGGAGUCCUCAACUUCUUACCCAAAUCGAAUAGGGGACCAAAAAGCAUCUUUAAAACUUGUGGACUUGUCAGAAAAAGUUAAUAACAUUUAUGGAAACAUCCUCGGAAUUAUGUACGGGAAUUAAAUUAAUGAAAAAAGCAUUAAGCUACCAGAGGAACAAUCCAGUUUCCAACCUGUUGUGAUGACAUUUCUGUGUAUUUUAACAUUUGUAGAAAUUCCUUAUCUUUAACAAUAAGGCUGUAUUUACUAAAAGUAUUUUCAAAAUACUGUGAGUUUUGAGAAGGUAUUUGCAGUCUUCUGUAAAAAUGGGUAUGCGCAUUUUAAGAUCAUUAAAGGUUGCAUGUGCUUGCCAUCUCCAAACACUGUCACUUGAAAACAAGACAACAGUGUUUUCUCUUGUUUUUGCUUAUAGACUAAUUCCCCUCUGGCCUAAGACAGUGAGGGCAGUGGCUUCAGUUGACAUCAGAUACAGCUUCACGUGAUGCACUUUAGAUUGCUGGGUAUUUCUUAUGUAGCACCAUUUAUAAUUACAUUAAAACUGAAACACCAGCAUUGUAAAUACCUUUCUUCAGGCUAAGGCUUGCAUUCAUAGGGAUCAAGUGACACUUUGCGUGUGCUCCGGAAAAGCCUAGUGCAACAUCUUGUAAGCACCUAAUAAAACAUGCAAAAUUUUGCAAAUCUGUUUGGAACAGCACCAUCUGUCAAACAUCUCUUCUGACUUCUGCAUGUGUCAUGAAGGUGUGAUACAAAAGGGGUUUCAUUUCGUGUGGCUGUUUUCAUUGCUACCUUGUAGAACUGUUUGACAACUGAAAAUCUAAAAAUUCUACUAUUAAUAAUCCAUCUGGGGUAUCUCGCACUUCCUUGUAAACCAGCUUAAUGCGCUCUCUUCAGAUGGUAAUAGGUGAGAAAUUACAAGUAAUAUACUUCAACCCACCCGUAUAAAUUACUCGUUUGAAGAAUGAGUGCACCUACAAGAACACAACAGCCUUGCCCUGCAUUAAUUACCGUGGAAAGUAAUGGCUCUGUAAGACGAGCUGCUCGGUUCCAUUAAUAUCACAUUGUCUCCGACAACACGGUAUUUCUCCGGCUAUUUAUUCUGCGAUCAGGUCCUGCCCUGGGUAAAUCCGUGGGAGCCACACUAAUUUGCGCAAGCCGAGGAGCUGCCGUCUGCCAAUUUUUCAGCGUAUAAAGCGAAAUUACUCUGAAGGCGUGCAGAAAACACUGGGAAGCAUCUAAUGGGAAUUUUCUAGGCUCCCGCAAAAGACAGACGUGUCCCAAGAGCGCACGGUGCCAGCCGCAGCUUCAGGGAGCUUUGCUCCGCAGUGGAGCCCCGGGCGAGCGGAGCCGUAUAACUGCCUGCUUCCAUUCAUUUGGGGAUUUGCCCAUUUGUUUUCCUCCAUUUCUUGCUCAUGUUUGAUUGCUUCAUUAGUUGCUUAUGUGCUCUCAUCUCAUUUACUCACUGUCCUUCCAGACUCCCACAAUUUCCAGAAGAUUACAUUGCAACCUUAUUUCAGAUGAUCUUUCAAAGAUCCCAGUCGUAAUGUAAAAAUUAUACGCUAGACCCAGCUAUAAUAAUGAGAACAUUUUUUUUCUGGUGGAAAACAGCUUUCAGCAAACUGGGAAGUUAUGUGAGAGAAAAGAUCAGUUUUCAUCAAUUUUUCUUUAUUUUGCAUAUAAUCCAGAAUAAACUACUGUAGGUUUUUGCUUUCUUGGACUUUGCUUUCUUUCUCCUUUCCCAUCUCAGAAUUUUGUUUAUGAAGAUUUUGAGGAUUUUCCACAUUUUUCCAAGAUCCUCCAGAUGUACUGUAGCCCAGAUGGAGCUACGUGUGUUGGACACGUCCACAGCCUUUGCGCAGAUCCACUGCAGAACCCCGGUGCUGGAAGCGCGGUGAGGUUUGAUCGCCGGGACUGGCCGUGCAGCGCAGCGGUGUCCACCUUACCGUGCGUGGGCUUUCUGGGGGUCCGGCCAAGAUACCCCAGACACAGACAUAGUCCUCUUCUCCAAAAAUCUGUAACGAGAACUGCAAAUGCCAGUCAGUUUUUUAAGCAGUUUUGUGGGAACCUGUGAUUUCCUGAUUUCCCCAGAUGCACUCAGGCACAAUGCUGUGCGUAGCUGCAGGCUCUGAUGAGACAUGACAAAAUCUUUAUGUUUUCUUCUGAAAGCCAGAAAGCCUGUUUAAAAAUGUUCUGAGUGCAUUGGUCGUGUUAGUGAAUGCUUUCCCCACAACCUCCAGAUAAAAAGCAAAGAUAAGAAACAGAUUCAGUGCUUAGCACCUUGGAAACCAGGGGAGCAUAUCUGGAGCACGAGUUAAAAUAUUGGGGCUUUUGUUUUGCCGUUUGCUGUUUGAGAGCCGCCGAGCCAUCCCUUGCUGCCAUCUGAUCUGCUGCCCGUUAUCUGUGAGCUUCCCGCGUGAUUGAUGUGCUUCCUGGAUGCAGAAAGGAUUUGCCGUUUUCGGCAGCAGAACUCCCAUCAGGCCGUUUAAAUUGCUGGUAAUGCAGUGAGCGGUGAUGUAUGAUACGUGGGGAAUGCAUGAAGAUAUUUUAAGUGGAUGGUCUGCAGUCCAAGCACACUGGGAGGGCUUGGUGCUUAAGCCAUCCAUGCGCAGACCCUGGCGAGAGCAGAGACGUGAAGCGCGCUGGAAACCGUAUAGCCGGUACGAGAAAACGUUUCCUUUGUUUGCUGAGAAAACUACGGAAAAUAGAGUAAAAAGGAGGUGAGAUUUAAGGCCGUCGCAAGGUCCCUGGCCGUUGGUGGCUGUUUCCAGCGGGUUGCGGGGGACUUGGCCAGAUCCAAAGUGAGGGGGGAACCGGUCUGACACCGCUUUGUCCAUGAUCUGCUCCCCAGGCCCGGGGAAGCGUGUGCCGACGUUCAGGGCUCGUGAAUGCCCAGCAGCACUGAGGCGGUGUACCCACCACCUGGUUAAUACCCCUUCCUUAGGUACAUUUUCAGCCAGAUUUGCUAAAUCCCAUUGCUUUUGCAAAGCUGGACAUGCGGAUGUGUCUUCUGCUCUAGCGCCUGGCUAACCUUUCCUAUCGCUUUCCGAGGAUAUUAAAUACGUGGGGACUGUUCCCUUCAGUUCUUCAGGGUUAAAAUGUCUCCCCCCACACCUUUUUUUAAUAGACUAAGUAAAACAAACUCUGAGGAAACCAGCAGUAAAUACCUGAAUACUGAAAGAGAAUCUGGGAAGGUGAGUGCCUGAUGGGUUGUCUAUAAAUACAAAUAUUUAUGUCCUAGGAAAAUGUAUUCGGAAAUCUGAAAAGCUCAGGAUCGUCUUAGAGCAUCACACUGCCCCCAAGUAUUUUAAAAUUUGGUUUUAUCUUACAGGGAGAAAAUCCUCUCUUUUACUGACUGAUUUUUCCCAAGCUGUAGACUCAGGCAUUUAUAUUGUAAAGAAGAAAACAUGUUAAAAAAUAAGUAGAUCUCACAGCUGAGAUCAGCUUGAUUCAGCUUAGGUAAACUUGAUUCUUCUUUUUAGAGGUGACAUGGUAUUUGGUAUUAGAUGUUGUCCGUGUGCGCUCUUGCAGACACCUGACCGCUGCAGUCCCCGGUCUCGGUGGUAUUGCAGCCUGUUAAGUCCUUCGCAGAGGAUCAGGGCGGCUUACAGCAAGGUAGUCCCUGUAAGCUCUUUGCAACUCUCGUUUCCAGCCAGGGAAACCGAAGCACAUUGGAUUUGAAGAUUUGCCGCUUUCGGAUUGCCGCUUUUAGACCUCUUUCUGAGGUGCGUUCGGGCGUCGUUGCUGCUGGCGGGGAGAGACGCGGGAUGGCUGCGCUCCCCCCUUUUCUCCCUCCCCGCUUCGGGCGUGCUGAGGUCCUUGGCACUCAUCUCAUUUUCACAGACGUGAAUUCUUGUUUCCCUAUGUUUUUUUCCAUUCAUUAUCCCACCUUUACCUUCAUGAAAGCCAGGACAAAAUACUUGUUGUGUUUUGGGACUACUUCUGGGUUCUUCUUAAUUUCUAUCCAGUUUCACUUCACAGUGAAACUCUCCUUUUAUUUAUUUUUUAUUUCUUUCCUUAUCUGUGUGACUAAACUAGCUUCUGCUGUUUGUUUUACUGUUCAGUGCAAAGUCUAAGUGAGUUUGACUUUAGUUAAUCCUCUGCUUAUCCCAACACUUUCUAACUGCGAGUCUUAUUUGCAAAUCUUCAUUGCCUGUUGAUUAUCUGCCUGCUUCUAAUAUCUUACUUGAAAUGGUAAAUCCAAUUAGCUAAAGCUUGUGCCUUUUCCUACCACUUUUUCUACCUUGUUUGAGGAAAAAAUGUCUAAGUUGUUCUUCCAUCCAGCUGUUCUCUUCAUGAUACUCCAAUUUCAGAAUUAAAAUGAUUUAAUGUGCUACAAAUUUCUUUGCAGUCCUUCCAUUAUGAGUAAAGAUUUCGGCUGUGUGAGCUUACACGUAGUUAUUUCAAUCUGUGUUAUGUCAUUCUUCCUCUUGCUUUUUUUAUACUUGCGUGAAUAUGCCGAUAUUGGGAUAUACAGAGAAGCACGGACACAUGGACACGUGCACAUUGUUAUACUAGUCAUAAGUGAAGCUUUUAAGCAAUUCACUCCGAGGUCAAGAAUACAUUUGUGUAUGCUGGAAUUGCAACAAUAUGUUCAAAGUAGCUCUAAAAUGUAAACGCAAUUAAAAUCUAUUUCCAUCUAUCUCUGUUCUGUUUGUUAGUGAACUAGUCCUAAUUUGAUUAAAGGUUUUAACAACAA